UCCUGCCUACGGGGGGCAGCAGUGAGGAAUAUUGGUCAAUGGGCGCGAGCCUGAACCAGCCAAGUCGCGUGAGGGAUGACGGCCCUACGGGUUGUAAACCUCUUUUGCCGGGGAGCAACGGGCGCCACGUGUGGCGCCACUGAGAGUACCCGGAGAAAAAGCAUCGGCUAACUCCGUGCCAGCAGCCGCGGUAAUACGGAGGAUGCGAGCGUUAUCCGGAUUUACUGGGUGUAAAGGGCGAGUAGGCGGGAUUGCAAGUCAGAUGUGAAAACUAUGGGCUCAACCGAUAGAGUGCAUUUGAAACU
rnacentral:rRNA from 1 species